rnacentral:lncRNA from 1 species
UUUCCCUCAUUUAUCUGUGAAUACAUGCACACAGUAACCAGGGAAAAUAUUGUAGUUUUCCUGUCAACAUGAAUGACUGUUUUCAAACACAAUACUAAUUUAGGAACCUCAACACAGAGCCCUUUGUGCAGCACAUUCCUGCUGUUCUGAUGCAACCUUUUUGGGCAUCUUUCACUGUAAACAAGUUCCACUUUUGCAAAAUGUGCCUCUCCAUUUUCAAGCAAAGAUUUGCACUUGAAGAUGAAAACAUCUCUGCCAAUGUCUUGGACUGCAGCUCAGUCUUGGGUUGUGUUACUCUCCAUCAUAAUGUAUUGCUUAGUUUAUCUGGAUCUGGAUCGUCACUCUCCAGAAAAUCUGAAAAACGACACUCUGAAAAUUAAAAAAAAAAAAAUAGGGCUAUUUUCCUGAAAUUAGUUUCUGAUGUAGCAUAUCAAGCUACAAAAUUAUAUCCUCAACCAUUUAUGAAUGGUGAGAGAAGUAUUCAGACCUACUAUUGUAAAUGUGGCCUUGACCGGAAUCUUUCUUUCUUUCUCUCGUUUCUGGUUUCAGCAGCAAAAUUUAGCUUUCCUGUAAAACAAAACAAGGUUGUUGGGUUUUUUUUCACUUGAUAUACUUUUAAAAUUUUACUGACAGCAGGGAGGAAGGACUUCUUCGUCCAAUAGAGAUGUCAAAACACUUCCUGCAGGUGCGUUAGAAAGACGUUUUGUUCCCCCAGGAUGGCUAGACCCUGUAGUGUCCGAGUCCUGACAGCUGCCUGGCUGCCCCUGACUUCUUGAACACUUGUAAGCAACUGCAUUGCAGAAGCCAGCAGUUUGUCGAGAGCAGAAUGUUUAUAAAACAAUUACCGUCUUGCUGUCACGCAAAAGGAUAAUGGUGUGUUACACAGUGGAAUAACAAACACUCAGCUGCAACAAAGUCCUCACGUCUGGUCCAGUGCUUCUGGACAAGUGUGUAAGGUUUCACCACUGUAGCAGAGAGCCAGGCCAGUCUAAACCUGCCCACUUAGAACAAUGGCAUUGUAGAGUUUUAUAGACCUUUAACCACAUGGGCAGCUGUCAAAAAUAACCUAAAGACAACAAAAUGAUGCCCCAGGGUGAGUUUUAUCCAGAGGACAUGUGCUCCUAAUUUUAGUGGACUAGUCUUCAGGGGACAGCAAAGAAACAUUAGGGUUUGUAAAAAUACUCAUCCCAAAGCAAAUCAGUGGUCUCACAUGAUACCUUACCAAAUCAUUUCUAAAUGACUUACUGUAUUUUUAGGGGAAAGAUGGUCCAUCCUUGUGAUGUAGAUAAGUGAAAAAUAGGUCUUGGUUUUGUCUGGUUUUCUCUUCAAAGAUAAGAGCUUACAGGGACAUUGUAUAUGACCAAACUUCAGGCAUUUCUGGAAUCCAGCAGACCAUCUCCACCUCCUCACCUCUGAUUGUGUGUCGACUCCUCAGUGGUAUGUAUUUCACUCUAAGCAAAAAUGUGACUUUCACCUUCCUCUGGAGAUACUGUAGCUUCUGAGAAAAUUAUAUAUUCUUUAUUGAUAUGUGUAAUUGCUAAUGAAAUUAUCAUUGACUUGAUAAUUUAUAAAAAAUAAAAGUAAAAAAAAGCUGAUUACAAUACACUGCAAAGCAUGUGAGGGACUGCGUAAGCAAAUAGUGAAACCAUUUCAGAAUAAUGUUUCUCAGCAUAAAUUUACACAGCAUUUGAGGAUUUUUAUCACAUUCCAUACAUAAUGUUAACAUUUUGAGUGAAGCUUCAAAAUUAAAAUCUGUCUUACAGUCCAUAACAGCUCUUCGGCAGCACAGCAUAAAAAAGACAUGUCUCUGUAGCGUUAAUCACUGCAUGGACCCAAUUCACUGCAAAAAUCUUCACCCUGGUGUUGCAUCUGCAAAUGGAGGUUACCCAGAAAUACAGGCAACUACUCUGGGCCUGAUAUCACUAAGAUGAACAGAAAAAAAAAGUAGAAACUGUCCUGUGGUCUGAUCAAUCACUAUGUUGUAUUUGUUUUGAAUUUAUGAACACUAAUUGUAUGUAUGCUGAUUAUGAAUUCUGGGCCACUAAACUAAACUAAACUAAAGCAGUUUGUCUGUUGUUUAGAUGUUUUAUUGCCAUAAAUUAUUAAUCAAACUGGAGCAUCACACUUCAGAUUAUUUUAAAGUAACGGUAUGCUUCAGUCGAUCAGCAACAACUCAGUUUUUGUCAUAGCAGUAUGUAAACGAGUGAGAAGCACAAACUUACUCCCCUACAAUUGCCACAGAACAGUCCUUUGAUCUUUGUACACAGUAUUCUUCCUUUUCUUCCUUUUUGUGACUCCGUUGUGAUUUUGACACAUUUAUGCAUCUGUCAUUAAUAAAUAAGCAUCCAUGGAAAAUCUCAAAAAAGGAGGUUUUUGGUUAAUAAAACACUUGAACAAAGAGACAGCCUAUGACAGGUUCCUGUGAAGUUUAUCUGAGUAAGAGAACAUUCUUUGGCUGUGCUUUACACCAAUAAUAUGAUGUGUGAGAUGACAUUUGGACAAAAGUGAAACAGGGCUGGAUGUUACAUAAGUGCCCUUAAAUACACCCUGUGGAAACCUUCUGGGUGACAUCAGCAGUCAUGAAGUUAUCAGCUUCUCCUCACUGCAUUCCUCCAGCAUCACCACGUAACUCUUUCUACAGAUGGUGAAGGCCCUAAAGCUUGGCUGGGGCUUUUGAGGGCCAAAAAAAGGUCACUGUUACCUCAAUGCUUGGUUACAAUAUUACUAUAACCAUUGCUAAUACAACCACACUAACAAACUGUUAAUAAUACCCUUUCCAAAUCAUAGCAAAAGACUUCUCAAGACAUUUGGUGCCCCCUACGUUGUCUUUAAAACGCCUUUCUGUGUUGAGACGUUAAAUACCAAAUCGUCUAAGUUUCCUGGAGUUUUGUGAAGUCUGAGGAAAGCUGAUAGUGACUGACAGAAUAGAUGUUGAAGGCCAUUACAUAAUAGAGCCUUAGAUGUUGUUUCAUACCGACAGCGCUUCUGAUAACUCUUUGGUGUUAUUUAUUUUUCAAGGAAUUUUCUUGAAAUUCCGACAUGAACCCAACCAGAUGGCCUGCAUAUGAAGUCAAGCUCUUUACCUGUCAUACCUCACCUAUCUUAAAGGUCUCCAAAAAGGGAUAUUGUGCUCCUGUGGUCUUUCUUCAGGUACAAUUUGAGACCAAAGACAUCAGUGGUAUGAUUGAAGGUCUUAGUAAAAGCUUGACCAAAGUUGGCUUACCUUCAUGGCCUUGUUAGAGCUUGAUAUACAACAAAGACCCAAAAUGUAAAAACUGGUUGAUAAUGUAACAAGAUGCUGAGCCCAAAACAUAACCACUUUUUGCCCAAAAUGAAGCAACUUGUUACAUUUUGGGUCAGUUAUUACAUUUUGGGUUUCAUGACAUCAUUUUUAUUAUAUUUCGGGUCAACACUUUUGUUACAUUAUUGACAAUUUUUUAAAUUUAUUAUAACAUUUUGGGCUUUAUUACAAUAAUAAAAAAAAACAUUUUGGCUCAUUGUUACAUUUAAGGCUCUAACAAGCUUGUUGGUGACAAAGACAUCGUCACUUUUGCUGAGAAGAAGACCGCUUUGGAGAAGACUGGUGCUCCCUGUUCAGCCAACAUGGAUGUGAAUUCAUUUUUUCUUAGGAAGAUUUUAAAAGAGGCUGUUAAUUAUUUUGGUUGUCUGAAAUGUAAAGAGAGAAACUCACCAGUAUUCUCCUUUCCCUAAGUCAGUUUCUCCAUGAUAUUUGAUUUUAAAGCACAUUCAGUUUUGUUAUUGUUUUUUUCAUAAUGUCACUGAUACUUCAUGAUGAAAUCAUUAAAAAUUUUCUGGAACAAGCUAGCCGGACUAGCUUUUUUUUCUUUAGUUAACAACAUAGCUAUGCUAGUUAGUGGUAGGCUAGUAAGACUUCCUCUUACUUGGUUGGUAGUUUAUCAGCAAACUAGCUAGUAAAGUAGCUUGGUAUGGUUGGCUAGCACUAUGCUAGGUUACCUAACAUUAGCUUGCUUGUGAAUGCUAGCUUAAGUUAACUACUUCAUUUUAUCGAAAAUUAACUCAGAGUCAGGCGAGAUAAAAAGCUUUCCUCUGUCACAGCUUUGUUAGAAGAGGUCCUCAGUUGAAAGGCUGGUUGAUCGACUCAUGAAUCCACUAUUAUCGAGCCACUGACUUCUGUACACAGAAUUUUAGGAAAAAGAGGGGAAAGACUUUAACAACUAGAAAAUCACUUGGAGAGCGCAGACCUCCGCUAGGGAGCAGCUCAUGUACCCCCUUAUAUUGUGAUUCACACCAAAACUUUUACUGUUACGUGUCUUUUAUUAACUUUCAUUUGUGUUUAAACUGGUAUGUUCACUGUUCAUAAUGUUCCUAAAACAAGAAAUGCCCUGAUCCGGAUUCGAAUCCAGGACCUUCUUACUGUGAGGUGACAGUGCUAACCACUACACCACUGUGCCGCCCAUUAGUUAUCUUUCAGCAUUGAAAAUUCCAACGACACCCUUAUUUUUGUGUGUUCUGGAUCACAGUAUCCGAAAUUUUGUCUGGAUCAGGAUCAACCUUUGACACCUCAUAAAACUCAUUGAGAUCCUUUUGUGUAAUUUUUUACUAAAGACUCUGGCCAUUUUUAUAGAGUUAAAUGCAAAAAUUCCAAAAUUUGCCCUAUCUCACAAUGAUAAAGAAUCCUUCAAAAAAUUCAUGGAUCCAGAAGGCGAUCCAGAAGGCGA